GGGAAGCUGAUGAGAAAUUGUUUGACGCAAUCACUGGUCUGAGUGGAAGUGGGCCAGCAUACAUUUUCCUAGCAAUUGAAGCUUUGGCUGACGGCGGAGUUGCUGCAGGUCUGCCACGAGAACUUGCAAUGGGUCUAGCUUCUCAAACUGUGUUGGGUGCAGCCUCCAUGGUCACUAAAACUGGGAAGCAUCCAGGACAGCUCAAAGAUGACGUUACAUCACCUGGUGGAACUACCA
rnacentral:misc_RNA from 1 species